AUCAAUAUCCCGGAUCCCUACAACAUGAGUCGAGGCUGCAAGUUGAGGGUCAAAACGAACUGACUUUACUGGCACAUAGCAUGGCAAUUUAUGUGAUUCCUCAGGUCCAAGGACAGCCCCCUGUGGACCUGAUGGAAUACAGGUACAGUACCAACAGGUAACCAAUCACAGUACACUGUAUCAUUUGAAUUAGUACCCGCCCAGCUUGGAGAUAAUGAGGCCAAC
rnacentral:lncRNA from 1 species